UCCGGUUUGUCACCGGCAGUCUCAUUAGAGUGCUCUUUCGUAGCAACUAAUGACAAGGGUCGCGCUCGUUGCGGGACUUAACCCAACACCUCACGGCACGAGCUGACGGCAGCCAUGCAUCACCUGCACUGGCUCCCCGAAGGGUCCCUUCCCUUUCAGGUCGGUACUACCAGCAUGUCAAGCCUUGGUAAGGUUCUUCGCGUUGCGUCGAAUUAAACCACACGCUCCGCUGCUUGUGCGGGCCCCCGUCAAUUCCUUUGAGUUUUAGCCUUGCGGCCGUACUCCCCAGGCGGGGCACUUAAUGCGUUAGCUUCGGCACGGAGGGAGUCGACACCCCCCACACCUAGUGCCCAUCGUUUACAGCGUGGACUAC
rnacentral:misc_RNA from 1 species